rnacentral:rRNA from 1 species
CACGUAGGGUGCGAGCGUUAAUCGGAAUUACUGGGCGUAAAGCGUGCGCAGGCGGUUUUGUAAGCCAGAUGUGAAAUCCCCGGGCUUAACCUGGGAAUGGCAUUUGGGACUGCAAGGCUCGAGUGCGGCAGAGGAGACUGGAAUUCCUGGUGUAGCAGUGAAAUGCGUAGAUAUCAGGAGGAAUACCGAUGGCGAAGGCAGGUCUCUGGGCUGACACUGACGCUCAUGCACGAAAGCGUGGGGAGCAAACAGG